UACGGGGGGGGCAGCAGUGUUCGGAUUUACUGGGCGUAAAGGGUGCGUAGGUGGUCGGGUAAGUCUCAUGUGAAAUCUCCAAGCUUAACUUGGAAAUGGCAUGGGAUACUAUUCGGCUAGAGGAUUGGAGGGGGGACUGGAAUUCCCGGGUGUAGCAGUGAAAUGCGUAGAUAUCGGGAGGAACACCAGUGGCGAAGGCGAGUCCCUGGACAAUUCCUGACGCUGAGGCACGAAAGCUAGGGGAGCAACAGG
rnacentral:rRNA from 1 species